GACGAACGCUGGCGGCGUGCUUAACACAUGCAAGUCGAACGGAAAGGGCCUGCUUUUGUGGGGUGCUCGAGGGGCGAACGGGUGAGUAACACGUGAGUAACCUGCCCUGGACUUUGGGAUAACUUCAGGAAACUGGGGCUAAUACCGGAUAGGAGCUCCUGCUGCAUGGUGGGGGUUGGAAAGUUUCGGCGGUUGGGGAUGGACUCGGGGCUUAUGAGCUUGUUGGUUGGGUAGUGGCUUACCAAGGCUUUGGCAGGUAGCCGGCCUGAGAGGGUGACCGGGCUCAUGGGGCCUAAGGGACGGCCCAGAGUCCAACGGGAGGCAGCAGUGGGGAGUAUGGCCCAGUGGUGGGGCGCCUGAUGAGGAGACGCCGGGAGCGGGAUGACGGCCUUGGUGUUGUAAAGCGCUUUAGCUUGUGACGAAGCGUGAGUGACGGUAACGGGAAAAGAAGCACCGGCUAACUACGUG
rnacentral:rRNA from 1 species